AUGGAGGGUCUGCCUUUGGCGUGCUAUUCAACAGGGACAAUAAAUUCCCUUCUCGACAAGCUCACCAGACUGAAGAAUCAUUCCAAUCCAACAGAAGAGUUCUCCGACCUGACAAAAAACUUCAAGAAAGCUGUGCGGAGCCUUAAGGAGGAUUUCUGCGACAUGCUCGGCGUACCCACGGUGUGUAUGAAGCAAGUCAGGGAGCUGGUCUUCGAAAUCGAAGACUGGAUCGAUCAGAAGCGGGAGACCGACAUGCUGGAUCCAUCGGACACAAAAGAAAUCCAAUAUUUCAUGACCGAGAUCAGGGAAGCGCAUGAGCGCUUCACAUGGUAUGGCGAUCUUUUCAAGGAAGUGCUCACCGAGCCCGGUCUUGAUGUCGUUGCACCCAGGAAAAUGACCAUCAACCCUCGACUGCCCAUCGAGGAGAAAUCUUGCCCUGGUAUUCUUGAUGGCCCAAGAGACAAGAUCGUCAAGCACCUAACAGAAGACAAGGAAGAGAUGCGGAAGGUGGUAUCUAUUGUCGGAAUGGAAGGCCUUGGUAAGACUACUCUUGCCAAGGAGAUCUAUUCAGAACUUCAACUUCGUCGGCAGUUCGAGUGCCAAGCUUUCGUGUCUGCUGGCAGCAGACCUUCCACGAGGGAGAUACUAAAUGAUAUACUCCGUCAAGUAAAGCCUUGGAGUGCUAAAUUAUCUAGCUACGAGAAAACUAAGGAUGUGGAAGAAAUUAUCACUGAGCUCCGAGAAUACUGCGGCACUAAGAGGUACUUCAUCGUAAUCGAUGGCAUAUGGAGUAUGUGGGCUUGGAAAGUUAUCAAUUGUGCUUUGCCAAAUAAUGUUGGAAGUAGGGUCUUGAUUACAACUUGCAUCGUGGAUUUUGAAGAAGUUUGUGGUAACAUGUUGUUGGAUAUGUGUGAUGGCAUGCCAUUGGCCAUAAUUGUUGCAGCCAACUUAUUAGCCAGGAAAUCUGAAGAAAUGACAGAGCUGAAGAUGCUUGGGAAAUCUAUUAUAUCAUCAAUGAAGCAAUAUCCCCACACUAAAGGAAUGACAAAGAUACUGCACAUGAGUUUUGCUGAUCUACCUCUUCCUUUGGGGUCUUGUUUUCUGUAUCUUGGUCUUAUUCCACAAGAUUAUACCAUAAAAAAAGAUCGUUUAAUACGGUUAUGGGGAGCUGAAGGAUUCAUCCCAAGAACAAAUAUAGAAUGCUUGUGGGCAACUGGGGAGAGGUUCUUCAAUGAGCUUAUCAGUAGAAGACUGAUUCAACCGGUGUUUGACUACACUGAUGACCAAGCAUUUGGAUGUACCAUUCAUGGUGUGAUUCUUGAUUUCAUCAGAUCCAUGUCCAGAGAAGAGAACUUUUCUACAAGGGCUGCAGAAUUAUGUUUUGGUCCAUUUCCGUGUGACACCAUUCGGCGGUUAUCGCUCGACAGUAGUAAUGAAGACGAAGUUGUCACCUUCUCUGCAAGCACCCCACACUUAUCAAGGAUGCGAUCACUCAUAUUUUUCGAAGAAGUUAAUGAUGAAGAUGACAUGCAUGUUCCUCUGUCCAUAAGAGCUUCUGUGGAUAUUCUUUGGGGCUUCAAACUUCUGCAGGUGCUAGAUCUAGAAGAUAGAAAAGGGUUAGAUGAUCACCAUCUGGUAGGCAUUGGAGAAUUGGUGCUACUGAGAUACCUAGGACUGGCAGGGACUGGUAUCAGGGAGUUACCAGAGGAGAUCGGAGAACUGGAGCAGCUAGAGACCCUAGAUUUGAGGCGGAACUGGUACUUUGGGAUGACUUUGCCUGCAUCUAUUUUUAAAUUGCAAAAGUUGAAGCAUCUGCUGCUUUUCCUGCUUGAUGUAGACAUCGAGAGAAUUCGGGUGAUGCAUGAAUUAGAAGAAGCAAACAGUUUUGCCAGUGGAAGCAACUCACUUGGUAUGGUGGUACAACUGCUGAGGGAGUCUGAAUGCCUAAGGAUACUAGAUGUAAGGUUGGGUGCAUCACCAGUAACCAAUCUCAUGUCUUUUUUCGAUGAGGUGGUAAACUCCAAGCUCCACUCCCUAUCUCUUAAUUGUGAGGAUUUUGAUGAUGAAGAGGUUUCCCUACUGGUGGAUUCAUGGGCGGAAGUCACAGCUCCACCAGAAAAUAAAUUUCAGCCCCCAAGAUUUGAGCUCGUACUACUUGAUCUUCCUCUCGGGCGAGUUCCACCUAAUAUGGGAUCACUCUUUAGCCUUACCCACUUGCACAUUCAACUUGAACAAGCAAAAGCAGAAGAUUUCCAAGUCCUCGGGGGCUUGACUAAUCUAGUCCUACUCAACUUGGUUGCAAAAAGUUGUUUCCUAGAAGGAAUCAGGUUCAUCAUCAAGAAGGGUACCUUUCUGCAUCUGAAGGUGUUUUCUUUAAUAAUCCGGGAUAGCUGGAUGGGCCUGGAGUUCAAAGAAGGAUCCAUGCCGCAGCUUCAAAGGCUUUGGCGUACUCUUGGAGUGAUAACAGCCCGGGAUCGAUUUGAAUAUCUGGAUAUUGGCACCGAGCACCUCACAUGCACAACAGUCCAUGUGACGAUCAAUUGCACAGAUGCUACUUAUUCGCAGGUGUACGCCGCAGAAGCUGCCAUCAGAUCCAAAAUAUCUGAACCCACGUUAGUAUUGAGCAGAAUCAAUGAAACAGGUAUGAAGGACGAAGGGCAACUUUCAAUACAACAAGAUGAGGGCCACUCACUAGACUUGCACAAAGAUGAUGACGACAAGAUAUGGAAGGCCUGGGAGAAGAUAGGAAAAAGUAGCUUGCAAUCAAUACGGGAAAAACGUGUGUUGCCUAGUGUUUUUCUCUAA
rnacentral:rRNA from 1 species